rnacentral:rRNA from 1 species
GACGAACGCUGGCGGCGUGCUUAACACAUGCAAGUCGAACGGAAAGGCCCUGCUUUUGUGGGGUGCUCGAGUGGCGAAUGGGUGAGUAACACGUGCGUAACCUUAACUCGAGUUUGGGAUAACUUCUGGAAACUGGGGAUAAUAGCGGAUAGGUGCUCAUACCGCAUGAUGGCACUUGGACAGUUUCGGCGGUUGGGGAUGGACUCGCGGUUUAUCAGCUUGUUGGGUGGGUAGUGUCUUACCAAGGCUUUGACGGGUAGCCGGCCUGAGAGGCGGACCGGCCAGAUUAGGACGGAGAUACGGCCCAGACUCCUACGGGAGGCAGCGGUGGGGAAUAGUGCACAACGGGCGGAAGGCUGAUGCAGCAACGCCACGUGCGGUAUGGCGGCCUUCGUGUUGUAAUCCGCUGUCGCCUGUGACGAAGCGUGAGUGACGGUAAUGGGUAAAGAAGCACCGGCUAACUACGUG